UGCUUGCAACAUUGCCUCAGUGUUUCAGAUGGUGCUGGAGUUCUCAGGUGUGCUGGGGGACAGGUGCGACUUAUUCUGCUGAUUGCUUGGAGGAGUACUUUAGCAGGAGGCUGCCUGCACUUUGACGCAAGAGUGUUUGCCUACUGUGGUAACAAGCUCAGCCAAUGCUAAGUCUAUGCUUUGUGUUUCGUUCUGGAAUAACUUUGUUUAUAUCCCUUCGCAGACUAAGAAUCUGAACUUUGAAUUUAUGUCACUGGACAACUGACUUUGUGUCCAGGAGUUUUCUGGAUGACCAAGAUUAUCUACGUUCUGAGGACUUCGUUUCCUAACUAUUGUUCCCGUCUGGAUUACCGACCAAGCUGGCAGUUUUGUGCUUCCUCCAUCUCCAGGAUCUAAGCCUAAGCGUACCCUGUCCACCUUCCAACCCAAGUAUCAGCACAAACGAACUAACUAAAUCAUCUCCACGCUCACCCAAGAAGCACCUAAGAAACCAACUGAACAAACAAUGCUACGACAACUUGGAUCCCGAAUCCCUCUACCCCUGGCGACCUGACCGCACCCACUUAUUGGAGUUUCGCCCGUUUUCGUUCCUGAUUAUUUUGUGGCACAAUAAAUAUCAUUUCACUCUUUC